UACGUAGGUGGCUAGCGUUGUCCGGAUUUACUGGGCGUAAAGAGCGCGCAGGCGGUCGUUCAAGUCGAGUGUGAAAGCCCCCGGCUCAACUGGGGAGGGUCACUCGAUACUGAUCGACUCGAAGGCAGGAGAGGGAAGCGGAAUUCCCGGUGUAGUGGUGAAAUGCGUAGAUAUCGGGAGGAACACCAGUGGCGAAGGCGGCUUUCUGGCCUGCUCUUGACGCUGAGGCGCGAAAGCUAGGGGAGCAAACAGG
rnacentral:rRNA from 1 species